rnacentral:tRNA from 1 species
GCCGAUAUAGCUCAUUUGGUAGAGCAGCGCAUUCUUAAUGCGAAGGUCGUAGGUUCGACUCCUAUUAUCGGCACCA